ACUCACUACUACAGUUUAGAGGCCUGAGCAGCUACCUGCAGCAAGUGACAAAAAUGGUUUUAAAUGUUUUAAGUGUUUUUAAUUUGCUGCACCUUAAAUGGUUGCAGAAAGGCCAUAGUUCAAUGGUAGAGUAUCUGAUUUGCACAUAGAAGUUACAAGGUUCAUUUCGUGCAUCCUCAGCAUGAAAAUUGCCUGCUUCACAGCUACUGCACACUGCAUCAAAAUCUUCAUCAAGCUAUCUACUAUGAUUUCAAGGUCUCAUUCCUGAAGGAGACUCUACAGGCAGAAGGACUCCUGAGAACAGUUCCAAAAAAGGAAGCUCUCCUAGGGUCACAGGCGUGCCAGAUAAGAGACAUCGCAGACUCUCUGAUGGGGAACUGGGCCGUCAACCAUUGGUUUUCAGCUCUUGUGAUUGAGUCCAGGAAGGCAAGCAUUUCUGCAACAACAAGAAAAACAAAUAAAGUUAAUAAAAACAAAUUUAGAACAUCUUAAAAAACUGUCAAAAACAUCUAAA